UGUUGGGAUAGCAGCGAGCCACUGCCCCUUUACCGCAUUUAUUUUCUCUAUACCUUAGCAGGGUGCAACUAAUGGGUUGAGGUUAUGGAUUCAUUGUACACAUUUUAACAGAAUCAUUACAAUUUCGUCGCCCAGUCUAAUUUUGGGAAGCGUUAGAGAAGUGGCUGCAAAAUUGGUUAAAGUUCGCUUGAGAGCUCUAAUCAAUGCUUGACCCAACUCCUGUUUUCAUGUUUGCUGGUUUCAGAAGCCCCUGGGGCAAGAUUUCAGGUAGGACCUAUCAGUUGUUCACCGUCCUCCCCACCCCAGCACCCACUAUUUCAUGCUCUUCCCUGCCUUUUGGGUAGGAGAGGGCAGUCAUAGGGCAAAGUAGUCACAAGAAGAUACAAAAGGGCGGCUGCGGACGUAUAGAUGAGGAACUUUAAGACAAUUCCGUGGCGACGCCCAGGUGUUCUGCACAUGACGUCCUUAACUGCAUAAACACGUGCUAAUCACUUAGGCCGUGUUAGAAGCCUGCGCGAUCGCAGCCGCAGACCUCAUGGACCAGCGGCGCACGUCCCCCCAGCGGCAUGUUCGUUCUCUCUCUGCACUGGCCGCUUUGGAAGCAGCCUCUCCCCGCUUUGCUAGCAGGUUUCCAUGAUGAGACGCGGCGGCCUCCACUGACUGCGGCACCUGCCUGUCAUUCCAAGUGUUCAUCCUGACGGUUUUAGUAGCACUUUGGCUUCCGUCGCUAAGCAACGUGCGGGGCUCGUGCUAGACCACAGCUGUGUAAACGUCCGCCUCAUUCUAGCUCUGAAAACCGACUGUUCCCCGAAGGUGCCCCGGUGGUUGCUCCCUGCUUCCUCCUCUCGGAACCGCUCCCAGAAGGCAGGUUGGCGCUUCGGCCCUCAAUGGAUUAGGUGAUGUCCACUCACACUUGCCAUCUACUUCACUGAGUCCACUGCCGGAAAUGCUCAUCUCAUCUGGAAACACCCUCACGGACAGACCCAGAAACAGUAUUGAACGUGGGCACCCUCUGGCGCAGUCAAGUCUACAUAGAAAGUCAGCCGCUGAGGACUGAGCAGCGAGCAAAGCACAACAGAGACAAGCAGCCUUCUGGAAGCUUGCGUGGGACUGGGCUUCACACAGACGCCAAGUAAUGCAAACCAGAAGAACAACAGCCAAUUGUUCAAGGUCUAUCAGUGGAUGCAGAGACCCUUACCACAUCAGCAGUAGCUCAUUUUCCAGAAGCCUGUGGCAUGUGCUACCCACACCCGGCUCUACCAACAAAAACCUCAGAUACCACCUGAAUAACCCUUUUGGUAAGUCAUCUUACACAGUUCUAAGUAUUUCUGUCUCUUGUUGACUCUAAUCUCGCGUGUUCAGUAUAGACUCAUGUUUACCUUCUUCCUCAUUUACACAGAAGUCUAUGAAAGCUAGAAUAAUGAAUGCCUCGGUUUCUGUACAGCUUCCCGAAGUUCCCUGCAGAGCGGACAUUCAGUUCUUUACAGUUACUAACACAAUUUCCAUACCAGUUCAGCAGUCAGCACUAUUUACUAAAAGCUGGCACUGGCAGUAGCCUUUCAAUAAUCAGCUGCCAAUUAUCAGUAAACCAAAGUAAAAAAACACUGAUGCGAAUUAAUCCGUAUGUACAUAGCAAAACAUGAUGAAGUGAAAGUAAGGCCUACCUUUGAGGUCUACCUAGAGGACAAUCAAUGGUGUUCUCCAUCUUCCUCAGCAUCUAAACUAUUUCUUGGAGAUAGACCCUCAUUCUGUCGCCCAGGCUCCCGUGCAGUGGUGGGAUCUCAGCUCACUGCAACCCUCCCAAGUUCUCCUGCCUCAGCCUCCCGACUGGCUGGGAUUACAGAUGCCUGCCACCAUGCGUGGCUAAUUUUUUUGUUUUUCUGGUCUCAACUCCUGACCUUGGUGAUCCACUCACCUUGGCCUCCCAAAGUGCUGGGAUUACAGGUGUGAGCUACCAAGCCCUGCCUACACUGUGCUUUAUAAUGCCCCAUCUGCACGCAAGUAUUUCCACAAAUAAGAUUCUAAGCCUUUUUAUACCCUAAGAAUCUUUUUACACAUGAAACGUUCUAUCCCAGUGGCACAAAACUGGAAUCACAUCUAAAAUAUCUUUUUUACAUUACUGAUUUUAACCCACUCCUUUGUACUUACACAUUUUUCCAUUUCUAAACCAUCCUUAAAGAAAAUCAUAUAUGGGGUCACACCAUCCUCACGGUAGUCCAAUAGAGCAACCAUGCCAUCUGGAUUCAUGUUUUCACCAAUAAAGAACUUGGGAAGCAAACAAAACACCUAGAAUUAGACCAUUACAUAGAAAUACAUGCCAUUCAAAACUAACUACAAUACAAAAUCAGGAGAAUUCCAGUACCCAAAAGCUCUGAUUCCCACUUACCAUAAUCAUUUGUUCACUCAAUCAGGCACCUUACUAGUGACCUUUUAAGUAAGAGUACAGAGCAAUACAGCAACACUAGGCUUUACGGAAACCUUUACUUUCUCAGACCCUGAAGUGCGCUGAUACAGUCAAGCACAAUUGCAACACAAGGCUGACAGUGACAGAACGUAUCAUACAGUUUGGAAGUAUCUUAUGGCCAGGGAUACAUGAAGUUGGAUAAACGAAAGCCACGGACAUUUUCCAGUAGAACAAGUUCAGAUACAUCAGGAGGACCAGUAGCAAUAAGACACAUUAGAACUGUAAACAGAAAGCUGAACACAGGAGGUUAAGCAAUUUUCAAGAAGAAAAACUGAAGAAAUGUCAUCUGGCAAAGAAGUUUUCCAUCGGAACGCAGAAUUUGAAAACACUUAAGAGCUGAGAAAGCUACUUUCUACACCUGGAAUACUAGUAUAGAAUUGAAGAUUAAUGAACUUAAUUUUUGCUCUUGCAGUGAAAAUUGUACAAUCCUUUGAUCCAAACACUUAAGGCAUUUACCUGGUAGUUUUUGAAAUUAGCAAGGAUGUGCUUGAUUUGUUCGGCAGCCCCCGUCAUAAAAGGUUUUACUCUUUCUGGUCUCUGUUCUUCAAGUUUGCCUUUGAUUCUAAAACGACAUUUCAUUAACUGGUUAAACUAUUGAAUUUUCAAUUAAAUCAAUUUUUAAAGUAAAAAAAAAAUACCCAAGCUUAAAAAAAAUAAAAACAUUGAAAAAGGCAACCAGCUGUUAAGAAAUUACUAAUUCAGCUGGGCGCGGUGGCUCAAGCCUGUAAUCCCAGCACCUGUUCCCAUAAGUCAUCUUUCCAGAAUGUUCACAUUUCUGACAUUUCUUCUUGUUUAUUUUCAAAGUACUAUUCUAACUCUAAACGGAGCCAGACUGCAGGCUUCAGUAUGCUCACAGAGAAAAGCAACCACUCUUGUCAGUGAACUCAUUAAUAAAAGAGGCAAGUAUAUUCCCUGCUCAAAAGAACCUCAAAAGUUACCACAUCUUUAAAUCCCUUAAGAUUCUAGACAUCAGCUAGGUGCUGCCUUACGAUUUCAUGUAAUCUUUGAUGUACUUCUUGUAGGCUUCUUUUGUGAAACUUGUUUCCUGCAGGUGAUGGUUCAUGACAAUAUCGACACCAGUGACUACUGUGCUUUCGGUACCUUCGCCCUCGGGGCCUUCGGCGGAGGCAUUUCCACCGAUGAGCGAGUCAUCAAUGUUACCUUCUGUCCUACUGACCAUCUGCAUUAACAAAAAGCAGUACAGUUGCAAAAGAAAACAAACGCAUCUUCAAAGCACCUUCCACGCCAAUAGUCAGACACAUUCUUGGUUUUUGAUGAAAAUCAAAAAAGCAGCAUUUCGGGAAUCAAGUUGUGACCUGUGGAUUUCCCGAAACGACCUAACUUGAAAGAGUUGUCCGUUGUUGGCCAGAACAAAAUGGGAUCAUUAAAAAGUUGUUUCCAGCUGCUGGCAUCAGGGACCUCGGGUUGGUAAGUAGGGGCGGGGUAAACACCAAAGGGACUGGGCUCCUAAACCGGAGACAGCGUGUCCCGGACAACCCCGGGAGGAGGAUGGGCGCCGAGGCGGCGGGCCUAUUUCCAGGCUCAGCUCCGCCUCCAGUUUUCUAGAAAAACCCGAGCCCGGAAAGAGCGUCUCCUCCGCCAGGAGGCGGCGGGGAGGAUUGCACAACCUCAGGCGGGGGAGCGGCGGAAACCCGAGCCUGCCCGGGCGGCCCGCCCCGACCUCCCCCACGCGCAGGCCCGACCGACUCACCUUCCCCUCCACCUCCAGGCACAGCCCGUCCGCGAUCUCCCGGAUCUUGUAGAUGUCAGAGAACAUCUCAUCGUCUGCCGAAUACACAGAGCCGCCCGUCACCGCAGGCCCCGAGCCGGCGCCGCCAUUUCCCGCAUUUCCCGCGCCGGCGGCCGCACGCGGCGUCCGUCCCUCGCGAGGGCUCCAGAGCCGAGCGCGAGCCCCGGUACCGAUCCCUGCGCACUCGGUUAAGGUCGCAGGCAUCCCCUGGGCCCGGACGGCUGCGCUUUCCCCACCCCCCACCCGCACCCCAGGACCCCGUGUGCGGCAGUAAGGGUAGUGCAGUGAGGACUCACGGCUGAUGAGAUCCCGGUAGAUAAUCAUGAUGGCGGCUGACGGGAGAGGACGGCGGCGCUAGCUUAGCAGGAGCCCGACGCUCGGAACGAGCGCUGUGCAGCCGAAGCGGCGCGAGGGGGGAGGGGGGAACGGGCGGAAAAGGCCGACUCAGCCGCUCCCCAACCUCAUAUAGAGGGCACGUCUCUUACGUCAUCGUUCGCUGCGCCUCCGGAAGCGACGCAGCGGUGACGUGGCACGCAGAGCCGCGCGGGGGCGGGGCCACAGCGGAAGCGAGUCGGGGAAGCGAGCAUCCGGGGACUUGAGGUGGAGGCACCAGACUGUUCCACUGGGCACGCGAGGUGCUGGUGGGUGGGGGGGGGAAUGGGGGCGGGGAGGUGCGCGCGCAGCCGGGGAGGAGGAAGUGAAAUGAAAACGGCAGAAUUUAUCUGAAGAUCCACAAUCUAGAGAUGGAAUCACUGCUCUUUUGACAGGUGCCAGCUCAGUGGCAUCACUGCCAAGUCCAGAUUGCCCGACACACAGUACCAUUGACUGAAAAAUAAAGAUGGAUGAACAGUAGCUAGUGGCCAGAGACGCUGUUUGUUGAAGUGUGGUUUGUCCGCCAGUGAUCUCAGCACCACCACGGAGCUUGUUAGAAAUGCGGCAUCCCAGCCCCAUCGCAGCCCUCCUGAGUCAGACGCUGCUGCCUCACCAGGCCCCCAGCGGAGUCACAUGUUCAUGCAAGUUUCAGGAGCCCAAUUCUACAAUGAAAUAUGCUUUUAUGGCCGGGCGCGGUGACUCACAUCUGUAAUCCCAGCACUUUGAGAAGCUGAGGUGAGCGGAUCACCUGAUAUUGGGAGUUCAAGAUCAGCCUGACCAAUAUGGAGAAACCUCAUCUCUACUAAAAAUAAAAAAAAAUUAGCUGGACAUAGUAUCGCAUGCCUGUAAUCCCAGCUACUCGGGAAGCUGAGGCAGGAGAAUUGCUUGAACCUGGGAGGUGGAGGUUGCAGUGAGCUGAGGUUGUGCCACUGCAUUCCAGCCUGGGCAACAAGAGCAAAACUCCAUCUCAAAAAUAAAUAAAAUAAAAUACAAUUUUAUAAUUAGGAAAAGGAUAGUUUCUUUGAAAUAGUAGGACUUCCCCAAUGAGUCAGCUACCUGUAUUUCUGGUUUGUUGGGCUGGACGCCAGAGACCAUUCUGCAUAGAAUUGUACCUCCUUGACCUGGGCGUUAGGGUGAGGAUUCCUCUUCCCUUCUCCCCACCUUAGAGACAAAAUCCUCUUAAACAUACCCGGCAGCAGGCCGGGCGCGGCAGCUCACCCUUGUAAUCCCAGCACUUUGGGAGGCUGAGGCAGGUAGCUCACUGGAGGUCAGGAGUUCGACAGCAACCUGGCCAACAUGGUGAAACCCCAUCUUUACUAAAAAUACAAAAGUUAGCUGUGGGUAGGAGCGUGUGCCUGUAAUUCCAGCUAUUCGGGAGGCUUAGGCAGGAGAAUUGCUUGAACCCAGGAGGCAGAGGUUGUUGAGCCGAGAUCGUGUCACUACACUCCAGCCUGAGCUAAAGAGUGAGAAUCUGUCUCAGAAAACAGCCUGAGCAACAAGAGCAAAACUCCACCUAAAAAACAAACAAGUAAAAAAACCAAAAAGUUAACCUAGCAUGGUGGCAGGUGCCUGUAAUUCCAGCUACUCAGGAGGCUGAGGGAGAGAAUUGCUUGAACCUGGAUGGCAGAGGUUGCAAUGAGCCUAGAUCGCGCCACUGCACGCCAGCCUGGGUGACAGAGUAAGACGCUGUCUCAAAAAAAAAAAAAAAAAAUGUAGCCAGGUGUGCUGGCUCAUACCUGUAGUGACAGCUACCUGAGAGUCUGAUGUGAAAGGAUCACCUGAGCCGGGAGGUCGAGACCGCAUGAGCCUGCAGUGAUCCGUGAUGACUCAACAGGGUGAGUGAGCUCGUGUGCAGAUGCCCAGAAGCCUUUGAGAGAGGGAGGCCACUCAGGAGGGGUGGGGGGAGCUCAGGCAUUGUAGUCAUAUUCUUAUUCUCAUUUCCUGCUGUGGUUUUUUUAAAUCUCUCUCUGCCGUUUCCCUUGAUUUCGCCCAUCUCUUCUCUUUCUACCGUAUUGUCUACCCCCCCCCCCCCGCCAAAGCAUUGUGAUUUCAGCAAUCAUUUAUCUCUAUAAUCCCAUGAUAAUAAAAUGUCCUCAUUAAUUAAUAUGCUGAUUUAAACUUUUUUCUCUCACAUCUCUUUUGAGUGCUUGAAAAUUGCUGCCAGAUAUGUUGUUUGUUUGUUUAUUUUUAUUUAUUUAUUUUGAGGUGCAGUCUUGCUCUGUCGCCCAGGCUGGAGUGCUGUGGCACAAUCUUGGCUCACUGCAACCUCCACCUCCUGGGUUCAAGCAAUUCUCCUGCCUCAGCCUCCCGAGUAGCUGGGACUACAGGUGCCUGUCACCAUGCGUGGCUGAUUUUUGUAUUUUUAGUAGAAACGGGGUUUCACCAUGCUGGCCAGGCUGAUCUUGAACUCCUAACCUCACGAUCCACCUGCCUCAGUCUCCCAAAGUGCUUACAGGUGUGAGCCACCACGCCCAGGCACCUGCCACCUGCCACCCGCCACCUGCUAGUGUAGAGAAAUGAGUAGACUUAGACAAGCACAUGGGCUUCCUCUAUAGCAGCCUAGACGUUGACACUGAGACUCCACGAGUCUGGGCCACUUCCUCCCUCAAGUGUGAAAGGAAAAUAAAUCAUGGGACCCCAAAAUCACUAAGCCAAGGGAGAAGGCAAGCUGAGAACUUUCAGGCAAACCUGCCUCCCAUUUUAUCUCCUAAAUAAGAUAGCUACAAAGAACUUUAAAAAGCAGCCAGGCACGGUGGCUCAUGCCUGUAAUCUCAGCACUUUGGGAGGCUGAAGCGGGUGGAUCACCUGAAGUUGGGAGUUCGAGACCAGCCUGACCAACAUGGAGAAACUCCGUCUCUAUUAAAAAUACAAAAUUAGCUGGGCGUGGUGGCACAUGCAUGUAAUCCCAGCUACUGGGAGGCUGAGGCAGGAGAAUUGCUUGAACCCAGGCGGUGGAGGUUGUGGUGAGCCAAGAUCGCGCCACUGCACUCCAGCCUGGCAACAAGACUGAAGCUCUGUCUCAAAAAAAGAAAAAAAAAAGCCACUUAACUUUCUCAUAAUUUGCCCACAAGGAAAUUCCUAAUUCUACAAGGGAGGGCUAAUCAGAGGCUUGAAAGAAUGCAAUUGUUAGAUCUUAUCCACCUGUGAGCUGGAAGGUCGCGUUGUCUCACCUUUCUGGACUGAACCAGUGUUCAUCGUACACAUACUGAUUGAUGCCUUGUGUCUCCCUAAAAUGUAUAAAACCAACUGUGCCCUCACCACUUAGUGCACAGGUCGUCAGAACUUCCUGAGGCUGUGUCACCGGCACACGUCCUCAACCCUGGCAAAACCAACUUUCUAAAUUGGUUGAGACCUGUCUCAGAUACUUUGGGUUCACAUAAGGAAACAGGAAGCAGGAAUCUGGUGUCUCUCUCUUUAAGCACAGUUUAAGUUUUACUGAGUGUAAGAACUCAGUAAGCACAGUUCUAGGCUGCGUUUGUCCUGUGAAUCCUUCCCUUCUGGGUCCCCGCAGGUACUGCCACUCUCUCCUCUCUCUCCUGCCUUCUCUUCCUUUAUUUUUCCUUUUUUUUUUUUUUUGAGACACAGUCCCACUCUGUCACCCAGGCUGGAGUGCAGUGGCACAAUCUUGGCUCACUUCAACCUUCACCUCCUGGCUUGAAGCAAUUCUUCUGCCUCAGCCUGCUGAGUAACUGGGACUACAGGCACAUGCCACCAUGCCUGGCUAAUUUUUGUAUUUUUAGUAGAGAUGGGGUUUCACCAUAUUGGCCAGGCUGGUCUUGAACUCCUGACCUCGUGAUCCACCUGCCUUGGCCUUGGCCUCCCAAAGUGCUGAGAUUACAGGCGUGAGCUACCGCGCCUGGCUCCUACCUUUCCUUUCUAGAUCCACCCUCCCAGUCUUGGCGUUCCUUAGGGUUUGGUUCUUGGGACUCUUCUCUGUUUAUGUGUUCUCCCUAGAUAGUAUCAUCUAUAAGUGACUUAAAUAGCACUCAUAAUGCUAAAAAAAAAUACAUUUCCAUUUCUAGCCUAGUUGUCUCUGAAUUUCAGAAUAAGGUAAAUGAAGAAUUCACCUUUUUACACCUUAAGUUUGAAAUGCCGGUGAUUUAUUGUUGGAAAUAGAUGCCUGGUGCCGCAAAGAAAAAUUAGUACUAAGACUUUAAAGGAUCUUUCAGCAACGCAACUUUUACUUCCUGGACUGCAGGAAGGGUACCCUCGCCAGCCAUCGUGCCACAAGAGAACAAUGAACAAAAGAAAACACACAAACGUAUCCCUUACACAUUUGGGGUCAUCCUUACUGCUGUGUCUGAUCUCCAUUGGCUGGAGCCAGACCUCACAAUCUAAGCUAAAACCCAACUGGCUAACAGCUUAAAACUUUUCUAAACAGGUAAAAGCAGUGGAGAGCUGGGGCAUGCCUGUGAGCACGUCCAGCACAGAUAUCCUGGUGAAAGUAAAGGAACACAGAAUGUACCACGUGCCUGUAGGCACGGCGUGUCUAACAGCGACAUAGGAUAGGGCUUCACAAAGAUAACAAGAAAGGAAACUUUAAGAAGGAACUUUUCUACUCCCCACAUUUAUCCAGCAGCCCUCCUGGUUUUUCACUUGGCUGUAUCAGCAUCUCAUUUAACUCAAUGUUCUACUCACUCUCCUCAACUUGCUCCCUGCUCCAUCUCAGCCAGUGGUGCCACCAGAACCCAGUUUCCUGAGCUAAGUGCCUUCCUUGACACCUUCCUCUCCCACACUGCCUCACCUGACCUGUUACCAGUCCUGUCACGUAUGGUUUUUUUUUUUUUUUUUGAGACAGAGUCUUGCUCUGUUGCCCAGCCUGGAGUGCAGUGGUGCAAUCUCGGCUCACCACAACCUCUGCCUCUCGGGUUCAAGCGAUUCUCCUGCCUCAGCCUCCCAAGUAGUUGGGAUUACAGGUGUGCACCACCAUGCUAGCUAAUUUUUGUAUUUUCAGUAGAGACGGGGUUUCACCAUAUUGGCCAGGCUGGUCUCAAACUCCUGACCUUGUGAUCCGCCCGCCUCAGCUUCCCAAGAUGCUGGGAUUACAGGCCUCAGCCACUGCCCGGCCUUGUGACCUACUAUCUACCAGAACUUCUGGCAAAUACUCACUGUGUCUCAAUUGUCUCAUCUAUAAAAUUCAAUGAAUGACACUAUUACCUACUUCUCAGACCAGAUGGGAGAAUGCCUGUGAAGCAGGUGGGUGGUGCCUGUCACACCCAGGUGUUUAUUGCCCACCCCUGCCUCCUCAACCCCGCCACAGUUCACACCCGCCACUCCUGAGCUCCACACACCGCCUUCCUCCCAGGCCCUCACGAAGGCCUGGGAGGAACUCAUGAAGCCACUCAUGAAGAACUCAUGAAGCCACCCGGAAUCCCUCUGCUUUGCCUGGCUCAUUCCAUCUCAAUUUCAGAUCUUUGCUUCAGGUCAGCUCCAAGGAGGCCAUCCUUGCCCAUCUUCCUAAAAUAGAGCUCUCAAAACCUAGCUCUUUUCCUUCACGGCGCUGGCCUCCAAUUGUAAGUAGGUAUUUAUCUGUUUAUACGUGUCUCUAUCGCUAUAAACUUCGGAAGGGGAGAAUUUCUUGUUUUGGUUCACUGACAAAAAAAAAGAAUGCUCGGUAUUUACUAAGCAUUCAAUAAAUAGUUGUUGAGGGAGAAAAGAAUGAGUGAAUGAAUAGGUGAAGUGUGGGAAGCUCCUGAGGAAGCAGCUCUCUACCUAGCGGCCAAAGCCACUGAGUAAACAGCGUGCGUACCCAUCUGUUUUGCCCUCUGUGUGUUUUGCUAGUAUGCAGUGUUCUAACUAGAAGUAAAUUCUUGUUCGCUCAUUAACAUAAUUUAUUUUUUGGAGUCAGUCUGACUGUUACCUAGGCUGGAGUGCCGGGGCGCAAUCUUGGCUCAUUGCAGCCUCUGCCUCCCAGGUUCAAGCAAUUCUCCUGCCUCAGCCUCUGGAAUAGCUGGGAUUACAGGCACCUGCCACCAUGUCCGGCUAACUUUUUGUAUUUUUAGUAGAGACAGAGUUGCAUCCUGUUGCCCAAGCUGGCUGGUCUUGAACUUCUGACCUCAAGUGAUCCACCCACCUCGGCCUCCUAAAGUGCUGGGAUUACAGGUGUGCCUGUGCCCGGCCUUUUAUGAUUAAUUAAUUAAUUAAUUUUUUAAAGAUGGGGUUUCCCCAUGAUGGCCAGGCUGGUCUUGAACUGCUGACCUUAGGUGAUCCACCCACCUUGGCCUCCCAAAGUGCUAGGAUUACAGGCUUGAGCCACCACGCGCGGCCUAUUAUUAUUUAUUUUUUAAGGUGUGUGCUUUUAUUCAGCUGGUCUCAAGUCGGUGUACUGGUAAGCCCUGGCUGCUUCCACGCACUCCCAGGGAGACCAAAAGCCUUCAUACAUCUCAAGUUUGGGGGGAAAAAAGGGAGGGGGGCACGAAGGCUGAUCAUUCAAAA